rnacentral:rRNA from 1 species
UACAGAGGUCUCGAGCGUUAGGCGGAAUCACUGGGCUUAAAGCGUGUGUAGGCGGAUCGGUAAGUACCUUGUGAAAUCCCACAGCUUAACUGUGGAACUGCUUGGUAUACUGCCAGUCUUGAGCCAGCUAGGGGCUACCGGAACAAAUGGUAGAGCGGUGAAAUGCGUAGAUAUCAUUUGGAACGCCAAUGGUGAAAACAGGUAGCUGGGGCUGUGCUGACGCUGAGACACGAAAGCCAGGGGAGCGAACGGG